UACGUAGGGUGCAAGCGUUGUCCGGAAUUAUUGGGCGUAAAGAGCUCGUAGGCGGUUUGUCGCGUCUGCUGUGAAAACUGGAGGCUCAACCUCCAGCCUGCAGUGGGUACGGGCAGACUAGAGUGCGGUAGGGGAGAUUGGAAUUCCUGGUGUAGCGGUGGAAUGCGCAGAUAUCAGGAGGAACACCGAUGGCGAAGGCGGGUCUCUGGGCCGAUACUGACGCUGAGGAGCGAAAGCGUGGGGAGCGAACAGG
rnacentral:rRNA from 1 species